CACUUGGCAAAAGUUACAUCGGUGACCCCCUCUUCAAGCAUGCUCAUCAAUGUCUACAACUUACAACAACGUCUUCAAUUUUUACAAAACGGGCUAUUUCGACAGAAACUACCAGUGAAACAUGUUCCAAAGUAAGUUUAGUGGUGUUCAUGGCAACGGACCCCGUUGAAUUCUGGCCAUCCUGCCCGCGAACCUUUUCAUAUUCAGGUACGAUGCUCGGUUGGUCUCUCGGAUCAGCCAGCAGCGGCCAGGCGGCUCGGUGUUUCUCGACAAUUGUUGUUGAGCAAGUCUUUCUGGACUCAGCCGACUCGGAUUGAAGCGCUAAAUUGUAAGUAACACGAAUAGUCCCCCCCCCCCCAACCCCUCGGCAAGAUGAACACGAUGUGAGUGUGCCUUACAUUGAGAUAGACAGGGCCGCUCCUAAGUCGCGGGUCCC